CACGCCCGUCACACUAUGAGAGUCGCCAGCACCCAAAGUUGCUUUAGCUAACCGUUAAGGAGGCGAGCAGUUAAGGUGAGGGGAUGAUUGGAGUG
rnacentral:rRNA from 1 species